rnacentral:rRNA from 1 species
GAUGAACGCUGGCGGCGUGCCUAAUACAUGCCAGUCGAGCGAACGGACGAGAAGCUUGCUUCUCAGAUGUUAGCGGCGGACGGGGGAGUAACACGUGGAUAACCUACCUAUAAGACUGGGAUAACUUCGGGAAACCGGAGCUAAUACCGGAUAAUAUUUUGAACCGCAUGGUUCAAAAGUGAAAGACGGUCUUGCUGUCACUUAUAGAUGGAUCCGAGCUGCAUUAGCUAGUUGGUAAGGUAACGGCUUACCAAGGCAACGAUGCAUAGCCGACCUGAGAGGGUGAUCGGCCACACUGGAACUGAGACACGCUCAAGACUCCUACGGGAGGCAGCAGUAGGGAAUCUUCCGCAAUGGGCGAAAGCCUGACGGAGCAACGCCGCGUGAGUGAUGAAGGUCUUCGGAUCGUAAAACUCUGUUAUUAGGGAAGAACAUAUGUGUAAGUAACUGUGCACAUCUUGACGGUACCUAAUCAGAAAGCCACGGCUAACUACGUG